GUACGCCCCGAACCACUCUGCAGCGCCCCCCGCCUCCGAACCAGAACCAAUGGACUGGGUCCCACACGUAAACGCAAGUCGCCCGAGGGUCCCCAACGUCUCAGGGAAGGACGCCGCCGACCGAAUCGCCAGAGGAGUCUGCAUACGCUGCGACAAGCCAGGGCACUUCGCGAACCAAUGUCCGAAUGCGAUCGCCCCGAGUAAACCCCCCACGCGCGUAAACGCUGCGUCGCCCGCGGAUAGG
rnacentral:sRNA from 1 species